ACCGAACCGAAGUUAUAUGAAAGGGUUAUGUACGAACCAACUACUUUACCCAACCCGCUGCCCCUCGCGCCCAGGCCAAAAAGUAAUCGUUAAGUAAUCGUUAACACCGCAGUUUGUGGCCAGUGACGUUAUGUAUGCUGCUCGUAGCUUUCUUCGCCCAACUCGGGUGACAAAUUGGAAAGUUUUAAAAAAAUAUUGCUCUGAAGUGCCUUCAACACCGAAGAGAAAAAGACGAACUUUGGCAGUACUGGGGAAGAUUAGUGGUGGUGUGGCCGUGGCUGUGCCGAUGACUGGUGGGAUCUACUAUGCUCUCAGUGAUGAUAUUACCAGACGGCAGACCACUGUCACUGUUCAGGGAAUUGGAAGAUUCUUCAGGACAUUGUGGAUUGGUAUGACUAUUUCACUCGACUACCAGUGGGCAACGUAUGGUAUUGAUGAAGGAAGUGAUGAAUAUGAAGAUGCACUAUCUAGAGUUCACCAGCGUUCUGCGGAGCGUGUAUUAAAAGGCUGUUUGAAGAAUGGAGGCUUGUACGUAAAGCUGGGCCAAGGUUUAGUGUCUAUGAACCAUGUGCUGCCUACUGAGUAUGUCAACACACUCAAGGCUCUACAAGACAGGUGCCUUAAUCGUAGGUGGGACGAGAUUGAUAUGCUCUUCCAAGAAGACUUUGGAUGUUCUCACAAAGAUAUGUUUAGAGAGUUUGAUGAUGAGCCAGUUGCUGCUGCUAGUUUAGCUCAGGUGUUUCGAGCCAGGACACACAGCGGGGAGGAAGUUGCUGUGAAAGUUCAGUACAUUGAUCUUCAGGAUCGCUUCAAGGGAGACAUAGCAACCAUAGAAUUGAUAUUAGAAAUUAUACAAAUCAUGCAUCCCAAGUUUUCCCUCAAGUGGGUUAUGAAGGACCUCAAAGGCACCCUGGAACAAGAGUUGGACUUCAUUAAUGAAGGACACAAUGGUGAACGUUGUGCAAAGGAUCUCUCAAAAUUGUCCUAUGUGUAUGUUCCAAAGGUUCACUGGGACCUUUGCAGUAAGCGAGUGUUAACCGCUGAGUAUAUACAUGGGCACAAAGUAAGUGACAUAGAAAGCAUCAAGAAGGAUGGGCUUACCUUGCAGGAUGUGGAUAAUAAACUUAUUAAUGCAUUUGCUGAACAGAUAUUUCACACUGGAUUUGUGCAUGCAGAUCCACACCCAGGCAAUGUUUUGAUUCGACGGGAUAAGCAUGGCAGAGCAGAGAUAGUUAUACUAGAUCACGGCUUGUAUCAGUAUCUCCCUACUUCAGUGAGGCAGCCACUUUGCCGGCUGUGGAAGGCCAUUGUCUUGGGAAAUCAUAAACAUAUGCAGGAAAAUGCUGCCCAGUUGGGUGUCACAGCCUUGGACUACCAGUUAUUUUGCAUAGCUAUUGCGCAGCGUUAUGUCCCAUCCACCGAAGGCUUUGCCCACGAUGUGUUUAACCUGUUUUUUAAUGAAAGGGGUCCAAAUAUAAUGUCCCAUGCCGACUUCAAUAAACUAUCGAAGGAAGAGAAAAGAAAAUUACGAAGAGAGCUUUUUGAUAUUUAUGAUCGAACUCUAGAAGUCAUCAAGGCAAUUCCUAGCACUCUUUUGCUAAUAUUUAGGAAUGUAAACACAGUUCGCGCCAUCGCGAGGGAGCAUGGUGAUGUUGUUGACCGGUACACCUUAAUGGCUCGGUCGGCCACCAGGGGAGCAUUCGUGUCACAUGAUGCUACAUUCAGACAGAAGAUGCAAGGAUGGGUGGAACAGUUGUACUUCGAUUAUUCUCUCAAGAAAGAAGUUUUAAGGAUGUGGAUGAUGAAGAAAAUCCUGUAUAUACUGUAUCUCUUUGGUCGUGGUCCAAGCAUGUCUCAAAUUUCUGAAGUCAUGGCAGGGUGAAAGACCUACAGCUGUCUUCAUAACUGUCUUCAGGGUUUUUAACAAUGGUCCAAACUCACAAAUUGUUGUAAUGAAGACAGCUGUAACUACACAUACACUGGACUGCUUCAACAUGUACACAAUGACAAGUGCUCCUAAUGCUCAUCAUUCUGGAUUUAUCCAAAACUUGUAAAUAACUUGUGGAAGGAUAUAAGAAAAUAAUGCAUUAAAAAGUAUCUUCAGUAGAAUUCUGAAAAAAUUUAGAAACUUAUGAAGUCUGCAGACAUCUCUCGGUGUUUACUGUGGAGACCUCUCUGUGCUGGGGUGGCGUGCACACCAUGCCCUACCUACACUCAGAAGACCUGGCUAUGCUGGGGUGGAGUGCACACCAUGCCCUACCUACCCUCUGGUAACUUCUCUAUGCUGGGGUGGAGUGCACACCAUGCCCUGCCUACACUCUGGUAACCUCUCUAUGCUGGGGUGGAGUGCACACCAUGCCCACCUCACACUCUGGAGACCUGGCUAUGCUUGGGUGGAGUGCGCAAAUACGCAAAUAACCCUAGAGUCUGUGAAUGCCAUUAAAUUGUACAUACUGUAUUGCAUCUUAUUAUUCUUGUUGCUUUGAAUUUAAAAUAAAUAUAAAGCUACAGUAAUACACACCACUGCUUUGAUAUGUGCAGUACAAGUUGAGGAUUUGGGUAGCGGUGUAUUGCUGUGUAGUAGCCUAGGACGUGCCUGCUGGACUCUGAGGGAAAUCCACUUUACAUAUUUGCAAACAGUUGAAUAUCUCAAGAGAACAUAAGUACUAAGUUUGAAUAUCAUAAAUAAUCUCAACAGUUCAUUUGUUGUACUGUUUCUCUGUGUCAGUACUGUUUGGUAAAAAUCUGGCAAAACAUGUAUAAUAUUAUAAAGUAUUAUCAAAAUCAAUAUGAUCAACUUUGACACUCAACAUUUCUGAGGACUGGUUGGCCAGAAAGUUUUAAGUACAUUUAGAGGUAUGUCACAUAACUCUAGUUUAUAGUGUUGGUAACCGAGACGGGAGGGUAAGGCUUCCUAGCAAUUUCUUAUUUUUUUAGUCUAACAUUCU